CGUCUUGGUUUCCAGUGUAAGCACAACAAGUGAAUCACAAUAUCCAGAGGAGAGUCCAGCCCUGGUGAAGUGGAGUGCUCAUAUUCUAUUACACCCUCUCGUUACCCAGACAGGAUUUCCAAAGGCCCUGUCCAUUAAUGCAUCACGAACGAAGCAUCUUCAUCUUCAGGGGCAGGUCAGCUAAGUGAGACGGCUGGGUCCAUAACUGGCUGCUCCGUCUGUCCUUACUGAGAUGAGAUAAAACAGAACGGAAGAGAAUAAAAGAAGAAAAGGGUAACUUCAUGAGACGAAGAAGAGAAGAGGCGUGUUAACAGACUACUCAGUUGAGGCGUGGGCAGCAGGCCAUCUCAACGUUAAGGCAGCGGGCAGUCAGGGAAGCUUGAAAUAGAAGCUCGGGGGAUUUCUUCUAUCCAACAGAGAAGCCGCAGCAGAAGCUGGGAGGCGGAGGCAGCACCUUUAGUCACUCAUUUAAAGGUGAAUCUCUAUGGGAACUGUGGAAACGCCUCAAAAACAUCCAUAACAAAAGUUUGCAAUCAAGUGACGGAAAAAGUCAACCCUGUAAUUCAUUAAUUGCCCUGUUGCCACAGUCAACAUGAAUGCUAUUUUUCCUUGACAAAGAGAGUGGUUCGGCCUUCCUCUUGUCGACACACUGUUGUAACACUUAGAAGACUAAAUGAGUGCCGUGGUCCUUCUCAGAUAUACAGAGAACAUUCCUCUCGAAGAUAGACAUAAACCCAGCAGCAGGUACUAUCUCCAUCCGUUAAGUCAUUCAGUCUGAAGCCUUCAUGCAUUUUGCUGGGCACAAAUAUGGUCAAUAUGUCACUGACGUUGGUCGACUCGCCACACAUUUUCCAUACAGAUAAGACCUUUUAAGCACACACACACACACACACACACACACACACACACACACACACACACACACACACACACACACACACACACACACACACACACACACACACACACACACACACACACACACACACACACAAAGGCACACACAAAUAAUGGCCUGUGUGUGGUUGCACUGUUGUGAUAAGCAGUGCACUGGCCCUACAUGUAAAUGCAUGUGAAUCCACAUGGAGAUAAGAAGCGGUACAUUACGUCUCUGGUCCUGGCUGUGUUUCUCUGUGAUACGGCACCUCAGAUUCUAUCAGGGAGACUUUGGCAGCCCGCGAACAGUGGUGGUAACACAGCCCCAACAGGAUUUAACAGAUAGCCAUAGGCACCGGUCACCAGUGGCAGGUUGGGCUGAAAACAGUCCAACGCUAUUCUGUAUUUAACAGAUUCUAGCUAGAUGUAAAGUAGAUUUAAAAUGUAGCUUGUGUUGUGGUGUGACAGCACUGACAGGAGUAGGAGUGAGUCUGAGACAGACAGACAGACAGACAGGUAGGUGGGUAGGUAGGUGGGGGAAAUAGAGAGACUGAAACCAGCCUUAGUGGAGUCAGAUGAGUGUUCAGCCAUCCACAGUCAGCCUACUGCAUUCUCACAAACACCAGCCGACCUUUUAGGGAUGCUAACUAAUAUCAAAGCUGGGAUGAUCAUUAUCAUGAUUCUGGUGAUAAUGAGAACAUGCCUCUGCUUUGUUUGGGUUAAGGCUCGGGUUGCUACGCAGCACUUUGUGACAAACAUAUUUGUAUUAAGUCAGUACAAUUUGAUUGGAUACGGUUUUAAAAGCACUCCCCCGCGCACGCGUAUUGUUACAGUAGAUGAUUCUAACUGACACAUAACAUCUAAAAUGCAUUAUGAAACAUGGAAAUACAUCCAUACUGACUGCAUUAUGAAAUACACCCAUAUUGUACAGCUCCAACAGUUUGCUAGAAAGUAUUUUCUUUGAAUUCCUCUAUUCUGAAUAGAACCAGCAAUAGCCCGCCAGUCUGCCAGCCAGAGUCAGUGUCUUGGCUCCCAUCCACUGUAGCAGAACAUAACAUUUAGAAUGGAGUGGCUGGCUGCCUGAGAUGACUCAUCCUCCAUUGAUGAGCAGCACAGCCAUCCAUUCCACCUCAGGGAACCAGGCCCAGGCAGCACAGAGCUCUCCUCUCCCAAACAUGGUUCUCCUGACUGGAUUGGGCCUCCUUUCCCCUUCUCAUCAGCUACGCAGACCCCAGCAGCCCAGAGCUUCUUUCCCCCUCACACGGCCCUCCCGCCUGGGCUGGGCUUCCUCUCCUCUCCCCCUCUCCCCCGACAUGCAGCCUCCAGCAGUUCUAAAGCUUAAAUUAGAGGCUUGGCGCUGGGCCAGGUGAGCAGGCUCUCUCAGUAGACUGCUACAUAACAGGCAGGCUGCCAUUCAUUCUGCUAGAAGACUGGGACUGAGUGAGUCACAUUCAUAGUAGAGAGGGGUUGAGGCCUAGUACACUGGCUAUGCCUGUUGGUUUUUACGAAUGAGAGUGUCCUGAAAUGCAUUUAGUUGGUUCAUGAACAUGACUUAACAACGUGUAGCAUUGCGCAUCCCCGUAGCAAUAGCGUUCUUGCAUAAUCAUAUGCAAUAGGUUCAAUAUGCCUAAUACAAUGUGUACACGGUAAACAUCGAGUCACCAGAGUCACGAUGAACCGAGUCACCAGAACUCUGUCACAUAGAAAGGGCAAAAUAAUGAAAUCUCUAGUUUGAAUGUGUGUAGUGUGACCAUCCUAAUAGUCUGUCUGCUACUAGCGCAAGCAUUUGCACCAGAUCCAAUCGAAGUGUGGGGAGAGCCAAGAGACCUGUAUACAAUGCACACUAAGAAAGAGGGUUCCUCAAGGGUUCUUUGGUAAGGGUGAUGGUUCUAUGUGGAACCAUAAUGACUCAAAUAACCGUUGCAGGCCGUUAAUGGUUCUUUGCAGGUCAGAAAAUGAUUAUUUCCUCUCUUAGUGAUAAUUCAAAUUAAGGGUCGGCGGCUCAUUUGAAUAUUUGGGGGGCGGGGUUUGCGCACAACUCUUUUUGCGCAACCGUGAGUGAGAGUGUCAUUCCAGUUUAUCUAAUGUGUUGUGUUAUGCCAUUUCAUUAUAUAUGACUAUGGCCAGUGAUGGUGUCUUGUAGAAGACUCAAGUAUGGCCUUGUGUCAAUUGAGAAUGGUUAUCCAAGUCAUUGAUUUGCAAUUCUUUCCUCAGGGACUCACAGACACUCCUGAGCUAGCACACCUGAUUCAACGUGUCAAUUAUUAACACAAUAAUAACACAUAUGGCAUUUUUAACUAUAUCAUAGGGUUAUCUGGAAUGAAAAACCGUGGAUGGUUCUUCAAAAUGUUAUUUGUAGAACCCUUGAGAUUGAGAGAGGUUCUUAAUAGAACCAAUUCUCUAGAAAAGGUUCUAUAUAGCACCAAAAGACGUUGUAACCAUAGCGGAACCCUUUUUAGUGCUAAAAUAAAAACAAUAUAUGGGUCUUUUUGUAGUACCAUAAAGGUUCCAUUUAGACUCUUAUAAGCACGGUUCUUCAUUGAACCUUCAAAAAGGGUUCUAUAUAUCACCAAAAAUAGCCUUUAUUUGGCACUAUAUAGAAAACAAUGUUUACCUGUGUGUACAGGUAUUAUACAGCAUGGGGCAAAACAAUAUGAAAAUACAAAGCUAUAACAUUGAUAUCAACUGCUGUCGUUGAUAUUUGACAUUUCCUUUCAUUUUAUAGCCUUUUAUCUUGCGUUUGUUCCUCCACAUAGUGAUUAUAUCACCUCGUCUGUGAGAUUGGUUCUGAGAGUGGCUCACUCAUUCCUCUCUCUGUUAUUACAUCAGCAGUCAGAGGGUCAUCUCAGCACCAUAUUGCACAAACUGAGUAUUCUAGAAACCAUCUGCUGGGUUUCUCACUGUAGACCUUGCACUGCCGCUAGCUCUCAGAAUCCACUUCACAAAGCAAUACCACAGAACGAAUGUCCUUCACACUACAGCACCAAUGUGUUUUACUGUACACAGCAGAUAUCUCUCGCACAAGAAAAAAACAAAAACAUCUCACCUACUGUAUAGCAAACGCUAAUGGUAUAUCCCAUUACCAGAUACAUUUAGCUAAAUCUUUAAAGACAUGUACUAAAUGUUCCCAGUGUCUUUGGGAUGAGUAUGUCUUUGGGAUGAGUAUGUCUUUGGGAUGAGUAGAUCUUUGGGAUGAGUAGAUCUUUGGGAUGAGUAUGUCUUUGGGAUGAGUAUGUCUUUGGGAUGAGUAUGUCUUUGGGAUGAGUAGGUCUUCGGCAUGAGUAUGUCUUUGGGAUGAGUAGGUCUUUGGGAUGAUGAGAUGUUCAGCCAAGUUCCAGACGUGGUUGUGGUUAUUCGACCCAAUGGGAUACUACAGUUCAGGUGUUACCCAGGCUAUUGUCAGUGUUUAGAAUAGUACUGUCUCUAUAUACAGUGUUCCCUCAGUAGUCCAGUUGCCAGGUGAGGUGAGUAGUGACUGUGGAAUGUGCACUGGGCAUGUCUGUUUAGUCUGCUCCUGAACACUGUGAAGGAGCUGCUAUGUUCUUUUCUUGGCUGGCAUGGCAUUGACACUACUCUAGGACUAGGUGUGUGUGUGUGUUUGUGUAUGUGUGUGUGUCUGCCCGUGUGGUUGUGCGCCUACGUUCGAAGCCUGCGUUUGUGUGCAUGUUGACGUAUGUGUGACCGGGCCCAUUAGAAAAGAACAGAAGACAAGGUUAGAAGGAUUACAUCCUCCGGGUGAUUUAUGCAGUUGUCUUUGAAAGGGAUUGUAUCUCCAGAGAAGUUGAAACGGUGAUAAGAGCUCAGUCUUUUGAUGUAUGCGUUUUGCAUAAAUGACGAUGAAUCCAUUGACAGAAAUGAACACGGUCUGUGUGGUUUCAUGGUGGUACCAUUCGGCCUAAAACGCACACCAUCCAUUUCAAAAGAGUGAAGCAGAAUGGAGAGGUGAGACCAGAAGCGUGACCUUACCUGACUGCACAGUAGAUGACAGUUUUGUUUAUGUUGACAAAAUGUAAGCUGAGUGGCAGAUAGUGAACUGUCACUAAACAGAGCUGCUAGCUAGGGGUCAUUGUUACUGAUUGCUGACACAGUACAUAAGUGACACACACACACACACACACUGACAUGAUUGUGGACUAUGCACACGGAGCUCAGUCACCACGUCACAGGACAACAACUUCAGCUGUCCCCCAACCACACAUGAUGCUGUUCAAGUCAGCAGGAAUGGUUGGUUGAGCAGGCUGGGUUGAGUCCAUGAGAAUUAACAUACAAUACAGGGUAUUCUCAGCCUUGUCUCAUCUCUGCAUGUCUUCACAAUUGUCUGAGAAGUGCUCUGGGGGUGCCCUACUUACAGGACAAAACAUGAAAGAUGGGAUCCCUGAGUUCUUAUCACAAAGCAGGGAUCUUACAAACAUCUGAUGUAUAGAAAACGUGCAUUCAGCAGGCUUUCAGUAGUCAAGUCAUUCUUGUAGUAAAGCAGAGAUCAGAAAGACCUCUAAACCUACAGUAGAAUGUAUCAUACACACUCCGUUAGCUGUUUCUCUCUGAUCUUCUACAGCAAGACUCUCCUAACCUCAAAUCAGUUACAGGCAUUAUCUACCAGAUACAGUCACAGUUUAUCUGAUUUGGAGUCAGUAACAGGCCGUGUCCUAACACACACACACACACACACACACACACACACACACACACACACACACACACACACACACACACACACACACACACACACACACGUGCCCUUAGACAGGAUAUGGCAGUUUUCUCCACUCUAGUCACAACAUCCAUAUCUAUUUCUCUAAACCAUGAUCUCCUACUCAUGGAAAACAGAGACACACAGACAUAUUUUUGUAAUGGUUUCCGUUCAUGUUGGCUUGCCUGUGGUAGCCAACGUUCCAGUCAUGUGAGCUGUGAUGGAAUGCUGGGACCUCAUGACCUGUACUGUACACCUCAGGCAUGUUCUGUACAACAUGUUGCCUUCUGUUAGCUGGUUAUAAUAGCAAUGCAUCAUUACUGUCGCCAGUAAUACAGUAACUCAAGCAUGCUGACUGCAGGGUGUGCAAAGCUGGGCCACCUGAUGCAGAGCACAAGCAGGUCAGAUGAGGAGCUGGGAGAGAGAGAGGGGAUCUGGUCAUGCCGCCCGCUGAAGCAGAUUGUAACCGAGGUCUCUGAGUCCUUGCCAACAAACUAUCAAGCAUUAUUUUGUGUUUAACAACACACAUUCUGACCAGUGGACUGAGGGUCAAGAAAACACCCUCCCCAGCAUGAAUAUCACCACUGCUGCUGUGGUGGGUGGUGCAGGAGGGGGAGGGGCUGCUGCUGACCCCAGAACUGUGGGAGUUUAAGGCAGUUGGAAAGAAGGCAAUGUACACAACAUGUGUGAAGGUGUCGAAUGAAUGUUCUCUGGCGAAGGUGAAGUCAAUGGGGUGGGCCGAGUUGUUUGGUCCAAAAAGGCUGCUGGCUGUCACUGUACAAGCUACCAAUCGAAAAACGCACAGCUGACCUCCAAUGCAGGAUCAUACAUGGGGCGAUAGCCCCUGGUGCGUCUAGAUCUAAGCGUUGGGGAGGGUUGUCCGUUGUGUACGUUAGCUCAUCUCUUCGUACAGUGUCCAGGACUGGUAAGAAUGUUUACUCUGCUAACCAGCUGGUUCUUGGUGGAGGGGUUCUCUUCCAGGCUGUUCAUUCUAGGACUGAAAUACAGUUUCAGGCACAGGAGCGGUAGUCCUGCUGAACCUGUCAGGAGAAGCCAGGUUGACAAUCUGGAAGACCAGGUAGAACUGUAAUCUGUACAGGAGUCUACAGGGGUCUGUAGGAGUCUGGGGUCUACAGGGGUCUACAGGAGUCUGUAGGGGCUACAUUAAUACCAUUACUUUUUGCAGUAACAAGUAACAUAACGAAGUUACUGUUCCAUUUUGAGUAAUAAUAUUAGUUACUGAUCAAAGAAGUCAGUUGUUACUUUUGUUAUCAUUCCCUUCCUAUUGUAGUUAUUGAUCCAUAUAUUGUGAUUAUUGUUCCCUCUCUGUUGACGCAAUAUAAAAUAAUCCCCCUGCCCCAGAUUCAAGUUGUUUUCGUCCUCUCACCAAGUUCCUGUUAACACACACACUACUACUAACAGCUUUAGUUGGGGAGGUGAAACAUGGCAGAAGCGUCUAAAACAUGAACUUUCUCAGCGUGGAAGUACUCCCAUUACUUUGACUUGUAGGACAAAAUGACAAGGAUAUAACUGCAAAACAGUGACUGUGACCAGGCAAGAAACACCUCCCCUCUGCUAUCAACACGACUUCCAAUCCCUUGAAGCACCUGCAAAGGCAACACGCAAACUUCUGUUUUUCUUAGACUCGUACACAUCAGCACGGUUGUACAUGACGGUUGAAUGUUGAUGUACUGUACGGUCUUGACCCAAUAAAGUGUUUUUCUCUCUC